GAGGGUAUAGCUCAGUGGUAGAGCGCGUGCAUGCACGAGUUCCUGGGUUCAAUCCCUAGUAUCUCCG
rnacentral:tRNA from 1 species